AACGAACGCUGGCGGCAUGCCUAACACAUGCAAGUCGAACGAGACCUUCGGGUCUAGUGGCGCACGGGUGCGUAACGCGUGGGAAUCUGCCCUUGGGUUCGGAAUAACAGCGAGAAAUUGCUGCUAAUACCGGAUGAUGACGUAAGUCCAAAGAUUUAUCGCCCAAGGAUGAGCCCGCGUAGGAUUAGCUAGUUGGUGAGGUAAAGGCUCACCAAGGCGACGAUCCUUAGCUGGUCUGAGAGGAUGAUCAGCCACACUGGGACUGAGACACGGCCCAGACUCCUACGGGAGGCAGCAGUGGGGAAUAUUGGACAAUGGGCGAAAGCCUGAUCCAGCAAUGCCGCGUGAGUGAUGAAGGCUUAGGGUUGUAAAGCUCUCUUACCCGGGACGUGAUAAUGACAGUACCGGGAGAA
rnacentral:rRNA from 1 species